ACCAUUUUACUGUUAUAGUAGAGCCCAAUGGCCAUGUUUCUUCUAAUGAUGUUCCACUGCUUCUUGGCCACUAUGCCGAAAAUCAUUUUGUGAGUCUAGAUAUAGCAAUCAAUGAUGAUUCUGCUGCGCAAGGCCUUCCUUACGGGGACCAUAAUUAUGCAAGAACAGAUACUGUCCCACCAGGUACUACCAGGUACGGUGACCAUGAUUAUGUAAGAACAGAUACUGUCCCCCCACCAGGGUUACAAAUGAAUGUCACUAAAAUCAUAGCAACAACCUGCAGGGAAGACCCAAGAAAUAUACACUCUGGUAAAUACGUCUUUAUUUACUCAUUAUCUACCUUACAUUAGUCCACGUUAAUUAAAUUUAUUCACUUGCUGUUGAUCAAUUUCUUAGUGGCCGUACAUCUGUAAAACAUUUUGACGUAUUAUAAACAAGAAUAUGCAAGCUGCCCUUUGACAUUCAGUUGCUGUUUUUGGGUAUUCCAGACAUUCCACCAAAAAUGAGAAGACUGCAGCCAUUUUACAUUUUAUCAAGUCAUGAGCAGAAAGAAGUAGAUCAAAUGAUGACUACUGCACUAGACAAAAUAGCCGGUGACAGACAACUGUCUGAUUCAAACUUUCCAGGUGUGAUUACAGUACGUGACUUAGCAAAGCUUCAGCCAAACA